GAUGAACGCUGGCGGCGUGCCUAAUACAUGCAAGUCGAGCGAACAGACGAGGAGCUUGCUCCUCUGACGUUAGCGACGGACGGGUGAGUAACACGUGGAUAACCUACCUAUAAGACUGGGAUAACUUCGGGAAACCGGAGCUAAUACCGGCUAAUAUAUUCAACCGCAUGGUUCAAUAGUGAAAGACGGUUUUGCUGUCACUUAUAGAUGGAUCCGCGCCGCAUUAGCUAGUUGGUAAGGUAACGGCUUACCAAGGCAACGAUGCGUAGCCGACCUGAGAGGAUGAGCAGCCACACUGGAACAGAGACACGGUCCAGAGUCCUACGGGAGGCAGCAGGGGGGAAUAUUGGAGAAGGGGCUCAAGCCGGAGCCAGCCAUAACGCGUGGGUGAAGAAGGUCUUCGGGUUGUAAAGCCCUUUUGUUGUGAAAGAAAAGCAGCAGGUUAAUACCCCGGUGUUCUGACGGUACCCAAAGAAUAAGCACCGGCUAACUUCGUG
rnacentral:rRNA from 1 species